rnacentral:antisense_RNA from 2 species
CUUCACGGAGCCCAGCCACAGGGGCCGGUCGGCCGGGCGGUCCUGGCCGUAGGUGGCGAUCAGGGCCUGGGCCUC